rnacentral:lncRNA from 1 species
AAAAAAAAAAAGAGGGGAGACAGAGUAAAAAUGUACUCCUACAGUCAAGCCUUCCGUAUGGAGCCAAUGGGCAGAUGUGGUUUCCUUGGACUACUCUGACCUACAGAGGACACGAGAAACCUGAUGAGAAGGGUCAGAGGAGGGAAUCAGGAACAGAGUCCCUUGCAAGGGCUACUCUGGGGAUGGUCAAGCCUCAAGAGGUGAUCCACCGUGCCUUGACUGGUCCUGGAGUGAAGCCAACAAAGAUUAUUGGAGGUUUCCAGAGGCCUCAUCAUCACUUCAUUUAAGCACCAUUUCCUUGCUGAUGCCAAUGCUUGGAAAACUAGAGGGUGGAAAAAAAGCACUUGGGUCUGUGAAGAAAUAUUUGGAACAAGGAAAUCCUGCAAGUGAAAAGAAGUCCUACAACUGGGAAAGACAAAAAACCAGCCAGUGUAACCACAAUACUGGAUUUCCUAUGGAGAUAACCAUCAUCAAUGCACAAAGCUCCUGUGUUCCUUCAAUUAACAUACUGUAGGUGGAAGCAAAAAACACUGCAUAAUGGUAAGUUUCACUUUCUACAAAGUCAAAAGCUGUUUUAAUAGAAGCUUAAGUGCCUUUCUUUUCAGUUCAGCAAGAAAGAGAGUAUUUUCUCAGAGGCUGACUGAACACCCAGGUUGUUCAGAAGCCA